rnacentral:tRNA from 1 species
GGGAGCAUAGCUCAGCGGAAGAGCGACUGCCUGUUAAGCAGUUGGUCGAAGGUUCAAUUCCUUCUGUUCCCUCCA